GAGGCUAUAGCUCAAGUGGUAGAGCGCAUGCUUAGCAUGCACGAGGCCCUGGAUUCAAUCCCCAGUACCUCCU
rfam:Camelus ferus unplaced genomic scaffold scaffold452, whole genome shotgun sequence.